AUUGAACGCUGGCGGCAUGCCUUACACAUGCAAGUCGAACGGCAGCACGGACUUCGGUCUGGUGGCGAGUGGCGAACGGGUGAGUAAUACAUCGGAACGUGCCUAGUAGUGGGGGAUAACUACUCGAAAGAGUGGCUAAUACCGCAUGAGAUCUACGGAUGAAAGCAGGGGAUCGCAAGACCUUGUGCUACUAGAGCGGCCGAUGGCAGAUUAGGUAGUUGGUGAGGUAACGGCUCACCAAGGCGAUGAUAGGUAGCCGGCCUGAGGGGGUGAACGGCCACAAGGGGACUGAGACACGGCCCUU
rnacentral:rRNA from 1 species